AACGAACGCUGGCGGCAUGCCUAACACAUGCCAGUCGAACGAGACCUUCGGGUCUAGUGGCGCACGGGUGCGUAACGCGUGGGAACCUGCCCUUAGGUUCGGAAUAACUCCCCGAAAGGGGUGCAUAUACCGGAUAAUGUCUUCGGACCAAAGAUUUAUCGCCUUUGGAUGGGCCCGCGUUGGAUUAGCUAGUUGGUAGGGUAAAAGCCUACCAAGGCGACGAUCCAUAGCUGGUCUGAGAGGAUGAUCAGCCACACUGGGACUGAGACACGGCCCAGACUCCUACGGGAGGCAGCAGUGGGGAAUAUUGGACAAUGGGCGAAAGCCUGAUCCAGCAAUGCCGCGUGAGUGAUGAAGGCCUUAGGGUUGUAAAGCUCUUUUACCCGGGAUGAUAAUGACAGUACCGGGAGAAUAAGCGCCGGCUAACUCCGUG
rnacentral:rRNA from 1 species